AAUUCUCAACCCCACUAGCUUUUGUGAGCUAUGCUGGGGCUUGGAUGUUGGGAGUUUGCGGGCCUUUACUAGGUCGGCUCUCCUGAAAUACAUUAGCGGAACCGUUUGCAGUCCCGUCACUAGUGUGAUAAUUAUCUACACUGUGAUGACUGCUCUCUGACUAGUUCAGCUGCUAAUCGUCCACUGUGGACAAUCAUUAAUGAACU
rnacentral:misc_RNA from 2 species